CUCAAAAACUAAAAUGACCAAAAUAGCACAUUUUUAAGUUUAUCCUUUGAAAAGUUUAAUUUUUUUAUUUUUCAAAAUUUGAAAUCUUAUCCCCAAAACCUCAUUUCUCAACUCUAAACCCUAAACCCUAAACCCUAAACUCUAAAACCUAAACCCUAAACCCUAUACUCUAAACCCUAAACCCUAAACUGUAAACUCUAAACCCUAAACCCUAAACCCUAAACCCUAAAAUCUAAACCCUAAACCCUAAACUCUAAACCCUAAACCGUAAAUCCUAAACCCCACCAUUUAACUCUAAACCCUAAGUUUGUGACUUUUGAUGAAACAUUAAGUGCUAUUUUUGUGACUUUUGACCUUGAGUGCUAGUUUGGGAACAUAAACUUAAUUUAGUGCUAUUUUUGUCUUUUU
rnacentral:lncRNA from 1 species